rnacentral:rRNA from 1 species
CAGUCGCCGCGGUAAUACGUAGGGUGCAAGCGUUAAUCGGAAUUACUGGGCGUAAAGGGCUCGCAGGCGGUUUCUUAAGUCUGAUGUGAAAGCCCCCGGCUCAACCGGGGAGGGUCAUUGGAAACUGGGAAACUUGAGUGCAGAAGAGGAGAGUGGAAUUCCACGUGUAGCGGUGAAAUGCGUAGAGAUGUGGAGGAACACCAGUGGCGAAGGCGACUCUCUGGUCUGUAACUGACGCUGAGGAGCGAAAGCGUGGGGAGCGAACAGGAUUAGAUACCCGAGUAGUCCCUGUCUCUUAUAC